UUCAAGUCUCUCUGAGUCUCUGAGAGUCUCUAGAAGGCUCGCUGAGUCUUGCUGAGUCUCUCUGAAUCUUCCUGAGUCUCUCUGAGUCUCCAUUUUAAAGACCAGCAGACAAUCGUGUUUCACAUGGUCUCUUUGAGUCUCCCAGAGUCUCUCAUUCAGAGACUAUGAAAGACUCAGACUAUAAAAUUUCCCAGCAAACAUUAAGUCUCCCAACACGAGACUUAAAGAGACAACUUACAGACUGUAAAAUUUUUUAAGCAAACAUGUAGUCUUUCAACACGAGACUUGGAGAGACUAGAGACUGUAAAAUUUCCCAGCAAACAUUUAGUCUCCCAACACGAGACUUACAGAGACUAAAAACUGGGAAUUUCCCAACAGCUUUAAAAUUUAUCUCUUCAACAAGACCAAACAGUAACAAAAAUUUUAUAAGUAGGGUACGUUUAUCUACGAACAAUAGUGUAUGUACAUAUAAUAAAAUUGGUACUACAUUAGGCAGUAAUAUUUUUACACGUACAAUAUUUUCGUAGGUUGGUGUAAAUUUGUAGGUUUGUGUCCAGAAAAUAAUAUUUUAAAGAUUCAUUCCGAACUGAACCUUCGAAUCGGAUAGUUUGCUUGAAAUAUCAGUGGAUAUCGUGUUGUGUUUCACAGUGUUAAAAAAAUGUUCGUUUUAGUUUUUUGGAUUAAAACCUUGCAAAAGUCUGUUAUUAACGAAAAAGACAUUUGCAUUCCAUCGAGCCCAGACGUUACAGCAGAAGUAGGGGAUAUUGUACUAUAGUGAAAUGGGGAAAAUCGAAGUCUCAAACGAAGAUUCUCCGAUACAUCAGGUCUAAAGAAGAAUUAGAAAAAAUAAAUGUUGGGGAAAGAUGGGAACAUCAUUGAUAAAGCAACAAGAAACUCGAAAAAAAAACAAUUCAACAAAAAUAUUGCAGAGAAAAAAAGUUUUAGUAAAUUCAAACUAUUAUCUCAAAAAGCUUGUAAGCAAACUGAGAAAUAUUAUAAUGAAGAACUUUUAUCGAGUUUACUUGAAAAAAAUUGCGAAGAUAAAGAUAAUUACACAGAUGACGAUGAGAUAGUAGCCGAUACAAUUCGAGAUGACAAUAAAACAUCAGAAAUCGAUGAAAUCAGUAAAUCAUGUUAUAUUUCAGUUUCCGAUAAUAGUAUUAGUACCACGUGCGAACUUUGUUCAUCAUUGCCUGUAACAUUAAUUACUGCAUAGGCUAUCAUGUGUAUGGAACAUGUUUUAAAAUUUUUAAAGACUAUACAUUAUCAGAAAGUAUCUAUUGAAAAAGCAAAUAGUAGUGUAAGUAAUGAGUAAAAUAAUAAUGCAUUAUACUCCUG